GGACAAUAAGCACACAGUUUUUGGCAGAGUGGUGAAAGGAAUGGAUGUUGUACAGUCUUUAGAGAAAGUGAAGACCGACAAAGGUGACAAGCCAUACCAGGAUGUAAAAAUAUUGAAUGUGACUGUUCCAAAGUCUUAAAUGGGUUCUUGUUGUGGCUAUGCUCCUUAUUGGAUAGUUUACAUCUGCUUUAUUCUGGAGAACUGGAAGGAGUACUACGACUUUACGUUGGAAAGUAUUGCUAUCCUCGUUGGACCCUGAUCUGACAUGUAUCUGUGUAAUCUAUGACUUCUGGUACUUUUCUCAAAACCUGCUAUACAACAUAGAUUCCUUCAGUUUUAAGAAACUUUUCGUGCCUCCGGGAAGUAGAAUUCCACUUGCUUCACUCAAGUUGAAAGGAUAUUAGUGAAUGGGAGUUGCUGGCUGAUCUGGUAUUAGGAUUAGCUCAUUGCCACAAGGAGUGUACGAUCAGCGUUUUCCACUCAAGAUUCAUUAGUGAGACAGAACGGCCUAGCUUAUUAUCAAUGUUCAUGUUGUGGACAGUAAUUUAUAGAGUUAGAGACCUAGAUGUUGUUUUCGCGGUUUCAACUGAACUACAACAAGUGUAGACCUUUUUGACAUCUUUUUAAGUCCUAGCUUCAUAUAUUUGAAUUGUAGCUGCAGUUACUGUACAUGACCCUAUUAUGA
rnacentral:misc_RNA from 1 species